CUGCUUAAUUGCGUAACGAACGAGACCUUAACCUGCUAAAUAGUUAUGCCAACGAAGUUGGUAGCCAACUUCUUAGAGGGACUGUCAGCAUCAAGCUGACGGAAGUUUGAGGCAAUAACAGGUCUGUUAUGCCCUUAGAUGUCCUGGGCCGCACGCGCGCUACACUGAUGAAGUCAACGAGUUUAUAACCUUGGCCGGAAGGUCUGGGUAAUCUUUUGAAACUUCAUCGUGCUGGGGAUAGGGCAUUGCAAUC
rnacentral:rRNA from 1 species